GACAGAGGGUGCAAACGUUGUUCGGAAUUACUGGGCGUAAAGCGCGUGUAGGCGGCAGGGCAUGUCGGAUGUGAAAUCCCGUGGCUCAACCACGGAAGUGCACCCGAAACUGCCCAGCUUGAGUCUCGGAGAGGAAGGCGGAAUGCUUGGUGUAGAGGUGAAAUUCGUAGAUAUCAAGCGGAACACCGGUGGCGAAGGCGGCCUUCUGGACGAUGACUGACGCUGAGUGAGCGAAAGCCAGGGGAGCAAACGGG
rnacentral:rRNA from 1 species